AGUUGCGAAGGCGGCUCUCUGGACUGUAACUGACGCUGAGGCACGAAAGCGUGGGGAGCAAACAGGAUUAGAUACCCUGGUAGUCCACGCUGUAAACGAUGAGUACUAGGUGUCGGGGGUUACCCCCUUCGGUGCCGCAGCUAACGCAUUAAGUACUCCGCCUGGGAAGUACGCUCGCAAGAGGGAAACUCAAAGGAAUUGACGGGGACCCGCACAAGUAGCGGAGCAUGUGGUUUAAUUCGAAGCAACGCGAAGAACCUUACCUAAGCUUGACAUCCCAAUGACAUCUCCUUAAUCGGAGAGUUCCCUUCGGGGACAUUGGUGACAGGUGGUGCAUGGUUGUCGUCAGCUCGUGUCGUG
rnacentral:rRNA from 1 species